UCUUGGUCAUUUAGAGGAAGUAAAAGUCGUAACAAGGUUUCCGUAGGUGAACCUGCGGAAGGAUCAUUAAAAUGUAAAUUGACCCUUUACACCCUUCUGUGUAUUUUACCUGUUUUUGGAUGAUGGAAUUAGUAAAAUAUUCCAUAGAACAAAUAUUUUAAACUAUUAUUCAUAAUGAUAUUAGUCUGAUUUUGUAUAAAUAAAAGUUAAAACUUUCAACAACGGAUCUCUUGGUUCUCGCAUCGAUGAAGAACGCAGCGAAAUGCGAUAAGUAGUGUGAAUUGCAGAAUUCAGUGAAUCAUCGAAUCUUUGAACGCACAUUGCGCCCGCCAGUAUUCUGGCGGGCAUGCCUGUUCGAGCGUCAUUUCAACCCUCAAGCACAGCUUGGUGUUGGGACUCGCGUUAAUUCGCGUUCCUCAAAUUGAUUGGCGGUCACGUCGAGCUUCCAUAGCGUAGUAGUAAAACCCUCGUUACUGGUAAUCGUCGCGGCCACGCCGUUAAACCCCAACUCCUGAAUGUUGACCUCGGAUCAGGUAGGAACACCCGCUGAACUUAAGCAUAUCAAUAAGCGGAGGA
rnacentral:rRNA from 1 species